GAUGAACGCUGGCGGCGUGCCUAAUACAUGCAAGUCGAGCGAACAGACGAGGAGCUUGCUCCUCUGACGUUAGCGGCGGACGGGUGAGUAACACGUGGAUAACCUACCUAUAAGACUGGGAUAACUUCGGGAAACCGGAGCUAAUACCGGAUAAUAUAUUGAACCGCAUGGUUCAAUAGUGAAAGACGGUUUUGCUGUCACUUAUAGAUGGAUCCGCGCCGCAUUAGCUAGUUGGUAAGGUAACGGCUUACCAAGGCGACGAUGCGUAGCCGACCUGAGAGGGUGAUCGCCCACACGGGAGCUGAGACACGGUCCAGACUCCUACGGGAGGCAGCAGUAGGGAAUCUUCCGCAAUGGGCGAAAGCCUGACGGAGCAACGCCGCGUGAGUGAUGAAGGUCUUCGGAGCGUAAAACUCUGUUAUUAGGGAAGAACAAAUGUGUAAGUAACUAUGCACGUCUUGACGGUACCUAAUCAGAAAGCCACGGCUAACUACGUG
rnacentral:rRNA from 1 species